UUCAGGAGGGGGGCAACAAGAUGUGUGGUGAUGAUUUCUGAGAGGAGGAGGAGGACUUGACGCGUUUACAGGACACGAACACGUUUACAGGACGCACACGGUGUACAGUAGUGGAGCCAGGGCCGAGCAGAAGUGCUGAGUUCAGAGGUCAGGUGCGGAAUCAACCAGAUUUUUCUAUGAUGGAUCCCUCAGAUCCUUCACUUCUAAGGGUGUUUGUUCCCGUGUUUUGGCUUCAAAGAUGUGGCCUACAUCAGACGGGGGCCUUGAAACGUGCCGCUGUCACCGUGUGUCUGUGAUUCACUCGGGCUGAUCGAGAUGAAUGAGGAAAGAAUGGGAGCUGGCGUGGCCACACCAGGUGAUGCAGCUGGAUGUAUCAUCUCAUCGUGGUUAGACGUGGGUCCCACGACCAUGGUCUGCUUUCCAAAGAGUCAACCAACCUGGGUCCAGACACAAGCUGGGACCCAAUUCAAUGGACGAUUUCCUAUCACAUCAACCAGCUUGUCCUGCUGUUGCAUUGUCAGCUACUUUGAGCGGCUGCAACCAGAAGUUGAUUGUUACCAAGGUCAACCACCAUGAAUCCUGAGAUGGUUUUGCCCGAGAGGGAUCCACCUGUUGAAUCCUUCAGCGCUCUGGAAUGGAAGGAUAGAUUUGUUGGCCACAUUUGAAGGGGACUUCGGACUGGGACCACCUAGUUCGAUGCAAUGGCAGGCCCCCGAAUUGAGAUACAGCUACUAGCAUGGCUGUUUUCUUCUGUCAGAGAAUUUUUAGUUUGUUGUUUUUUCUGGUGAAAUACUGAGAUGUAGAACAGUAGUGUAUCUGGACUUGGAUUUAAUGACCAGAACCUUUUUCCUGUUGAAUUUGGACAUCUGCAAAAGUCCAUAUGUCCAGAUGGUGCACAGAUAAGGACAUACAACUCUAACCAGUGACUAAUAUCUGUGUCUUGACAUUAGACGCAGCCGGAAGCUAUGCACAUAAACGUGAAUUAGGGAAUCGAGCCUG